GUGGUACGUAAAUUAAUGAGGCCUCGC
rnacentral:sRNA from 1 species